UCAUCGGUCACACAGUACAUAUUCACCUUCUCAUCCUCAUGCUCCAGACACAUCAGCCCCCGAAUGUGCGAGUCCGGAAUUGGCUCAAUCAGACGGUGGCCCGUGAAGGGCUUCUUAUUCGGGGUGACGUUGCGCUUGAGCCCGUCUAGACCGCGGUGGCUGAGAGUGAUGACAUGCCUGCAGGUGGGGCACUGGAAGGCGGUGAUGGACUCCACAGACUCGUUGGUGGCACAGUGCGACACCAGGAUGCGAUGGGCACAGUUGAAGCAGAGGCUGUGUGCGCAGGGCAGCAGGAGAGGGUCCUCGAAGAGCUCCAGACAAAUAGGGCAGGUCAGCUCCGACUCCAGUGUUUCCAUCUUCAAGCAAAACUCUCUUGGAUCAUCAGCAAAAUCCAAGGCAGCUGAUCAGCUAUCUGGAAACACGUAGGAUAUGGAUGGGCAGAGAGAUGCAGAGACAACUAUCCGAGGCCCAUUUUAGGAGCCGCAGUGAACUUCAGGAUCAACAACUAAGAACGAUUCAGUUCAUCAGAAUAAGUAUUUUGUGACUACCAUAUUCAUUUGAUAAGUUAUAAUAAUGGUCAUGGUUACACUGUAGAAAUCAGUACUAGAUGGCCUCUGAGAGACCCCACACAGCCCAUUGGUGCUAAAAGCUCACAUCAAAGGCUUGUCACUGUGGUAGCACAGGGCAGGGCUGGCCAGUGUCCAGCCUCACACUCAGGGCCAUGUGUUGGCUGGGGCAUGACCCCUGCCAGCUCUGUCACUCCCCUGCAGGCUGCUGCUUUGGUAAAUUCUAGCCUGCCUUCCCCUGAGGAAGGGGAGGGGGAGGAGGAAUCCCACAUAAAUCUGGUCUGUUAAAGGGGAAGAUGCCUGAGUGCUUGUUAGCGGGCCAGGGAAGCAAGCAUCUUGCUUUAAACCUGUCUUUCAAGGCCAUUAGCAGAGGUCUGGGGAAGAGGGCUGCAAAGAACAAACACAGACGGGUGGCCUUCAGCUCGCCUUCCGGGGAACCUUCUCAGUACUAUUUGGGAGAAGGCGGACUUCACCUCCAAAGCAUGUUCAGUGAUUCUGACAGUCACCUCUUUUGCACUCAUUGCUCUAUCUAUUUACCCAAAUCCCAACUUCUAGAAUGCCCUAACCCUUUCGGAAAAACAGCAUCCAUCAGAAAUACCAAGUGGCACCUUGUUAAAAUAAUGUUCUUGUUCUCUACUUCCUGGUAACUGAUGAUUAAAAGUGACAAAUAUGUGCUCAGUUGGCUAAAAAUUAAAAGAACUCCUGACUUCCUCUAAGCCUGAUUCUUUUCUUUUUUUAAAGCAGCCAGUUGCUGAAGUCAACUAGGAGAGAAAGAAAUAAUGAGCAGCUGAGGCCAGAAACAGUGAAGCCUGACCAUCUUUCCCCAACUUGCAACGGAAACCCAGUGCUACUAAACAUUCAUGUUCAAGGAAAACCAUGGAGCCCUUUGGUUUGCUUUGUCAUCCGGUAAAAGGAAGGAGGACAAUGCCCACCACCAGAGCUCCGGAGAGGGACGGGUGUCGAUCACAUUUGGAAAACUCUGAUGACUGAAUUCUUAGCUAGGCACCAUGGUCCCAUGGUCUACUUGGGAUUGCUACAGGUGAAUCCUCUGUUGACCUCAAUGGAAACUCUCACGUUUACUGAGUGCCAAGCUCAGAGGUGGCUCCAGAGGCCAGAACCCACCACCUCUACUCACUGCCCAUGGACCACUACAUUGACGUGGAUGAACACAAGUGCUUUCUAACAGGUCACCUGGGUUCGACUCCCUCAUGCCCCUACCCUGAUUGACCCUCUACUCAAAGUUGCCAGGCAAGGACGACAGAGCUGCCGGUCUUCUGUUCGACCCUCCGAGGGUUUGUCAAAAGCACCAGAAUAAAACCAACCCGAGGAAACAGACUCAGACAGUGACCUCAUUUCCUCCCAUGCCACGCCUGUUUUGCUCUGGGCACAUGGACUCCUUGUGAUUCCUCAAAACAUGCCAAGCACGUCCCAAUUCCCUCUCACAAGGUCGUUGAAAUCCACAGAACUC